rnacentral:rRNA from 1 species
GUCCAUGGCCAUACCACCCUGAACAAGCCCGAUCCUGUCUGAUCUCGGAAGCUAAGCAGGGUCGAGCCUGGUUAGUACUUGGAUGGGAGACCACCUAGGAAGACCAGGUGCUGUAGACG